rnacentral:rRNA from 1 species
GACGAACGCUGGCGGCGUGCUUAACACAUGCAAGUCGAACGGAAAGGCCCUGCUUUUGUGGGGUGCUCGAGUGGCGAACGGGUGAGUAACACGUGAGUAACCUGCCCUUGACUUUGGGAUAACUUCAGGAAACUGGGGCUAAUACCGGAUAGGAGCUCCUGCUGCAUGGUGGGGGUUGGAAAGUUUCGGCGGUUGGGGAUGGACUCGCGGCUUAUCAGCUUGUUGGUGGGGAAGUGGCUUACCAAGGCUUUGACGGGUAGCCGGCCUGAGAGGGUGACCGGCCACAUUGGGACUGAGAUACGGCCCAGACUCCUACGGGAGGCAGCAGUGGUGAAUAUUGCACAAUGGGCGGAAGCCUGAUGCAGCAACGCCGCGUGCGGGAUGACGGCCUUCGGGUUGUAAACCGCUUUCGCCUGUGACGAAGCGUGAGUGACGGUAAUGGGUAAAGAAGCACCGGCUAACUACGUG